GACGAACGCUGGCGGCGUGCUUAACACAUGCAAGUCGAACGGAAAGGCCCUGCUUUUGUGGGGUGCUCGAGUGGCGAACGGGUGAGUAACACGUGAGUAACCUGCCCUUGACUUUGGGAUAACUUCAGGAAACUGGGGCUAAUACCGGAUAGGAGCUCCUGCUGCAUGGUGGGGGUUGGAAAGUUUCGGCGGUUGGGGAUGGACUCGCGGCUUAUCAGCUUGUUGGUGGGGUAGUGGAUUACCAAGGCUUUGACGGGUAGCCGGCCUGAGAGGGUGACCGGCCACAUUGGGACAGGGAAACGGCCCGGGCGCCUACGGGAGGAAGGGGUGGGAAAUAUUGCACGAUGGGCGGAGGCCUGAUGGAGCAACGCCGCGUGGGGAAUGACGGCCUUCGGGUGGGAAACCGCUUUCGCCUGUAACGAAGCGUGAUGGACGUAAAGGGGGAAGAAGCACCGGCUAACUACGUG
rnacentral:rRNA from 1 species